AGACUUGUGCAGUGGCAUGAUUGCAACCCAUGAAGCUAUGGCUGAGGUGCGAUUAUUGCUAGUUGAAAACUUAAACCAAUAACUCGGCAUAGCGACCGUUAACCAACGUUUGCUAUGACAAUUUUUCAAAGCCCGAAGGGGC
rfam:Musca domestica strain aabys unplaced genomic scaffold Scaffold130, whole genome shotgun sequence.